UACAGAGGUCUCAAGCGUUGUUCGGAUUCAUUGGGCGUAAAGGGCGCGUAGGCGGCGGGGUAAGUCUGGUGUGAAAUCUCGGAGCUCAACUCCGAAAUUGCACUGGAUACUGCUCUGCUAGAGGGCUGGAGAGGAGAUCGGAAUUCACGGUGUAGCAGUGAAAUGCGUAGAUAUCGUGAGGAAGACCAGUGGCGAAGGCG
rnacentral:rRNA from 1 species